ACCGUCAGCCCAUUGGUCCGCCCGCGUGGGAGGUGGCGCGGGGCGUUCCAGCAACCAAUCAUAUCCUCGCUCUGUUUCUUACUCCCGGCCCUGGCUCAGCCUCUGACUGCUCAUUGGUUUGGAGGAAGCCUUUGAAAGACGCGCGGAAGGAGGGCCCGGAAGAAAGCGGAUUGGCUGGAGGGCUCCGCCCCUCCGCCAGUUGGGGGCGUGGAUGUAGCAAGGGGCGGGGCGAAGUGGUUCCCCUUCAAGCCCAGCGUUUUGGAGACUUUCUGGACGGAAUUUCCUAAUGAUACAAGGAAUAGCAGAAUAGCCUGUGUGAAACCAUGAAGUAGGGAAAGCGUAGUUGUUAGGACAUGGCUUUCUCAUAGCGCAUCUCCAAUCUCAUCAUCUCAGAGGUUCGUCAGGCUGAAACAUCUGCCACAUUCCGUUUACUCCCAGGACACCGAGAGUCAGGACAGAAUCCUGAACUUUCAGAAAGCUUGAAACUGAGUUGACAAGACUUCCCACUGCUUUGUUCUGAUCAUUUAUCUCGUGGGCAACCUGGAAUAGAUGAAUUUCUUUUCGGUAACUGUCACCUUUGAUUAUCAAACUGCCAUCAAAGCUACAUGACCUGAAGAAAAGAAUACUAGAGGUUGUGUCCCUGUUUGUCCUGGAACACAAGAACCUGGAAAUUUCAGUCCAUGUUCCUGAACUCUCAUUUAUGCCUAAAACAGAAAAGUCAUGAUUCAUCAAG